rnacentral:lncRNA from 10 species
GUCCAGAUUCCUGUUGGCCUCUCUGCACGGCACUCCUUCCUCCUGGGUUGAGGGCAGGACCCUUUCUAAAAUGAGGAUCUUAUGACCUACAAUCAGACAAGGUAGGUCAGAGAAUUUCUUUAUGACCGGCUCCAAAUACAAAGGUGGGGGCAGAUUAUAUUUUCAGUUUCUAUGGCCUGCCUUGGAGAGACAAAGGAGCAGGUGAAAAAGGAGAGUAUGAGAAGGUCAGCGGGAGAGGCUGUUUUCUGAGCCCUGCUUCUGAGGCCUACAGCACCCGCACAUUAAAACCAAAGAUGGUCUUUUCCUUUGAUCGCUCUGAAGCACUUCCAAAGCUGCUUCAGGAACCAAGGACUAAAGGACGAACACUUUAACAAAAGAUAUGCUUAUUGCUUAAUCACUUGGGAAAUAAUAAGGGCUAUGGGAGUUAUGAGCCAGGAACCAUGGACAAAAAGCUAUAUAUAUAUAAUGAUAUCACAUAUAUAUAAUGAUAUCACAUAGAUAUACAUAUGUAUAUAUACACACACAGAUGCUUCUAUAAACUCAUAUUUUUUACCUAGCUUUUCAACAGAAAAGAAAAUGUUUAUCAUAGUUACUAUGUAUUUAGUUUCAUAUAGCAAAGUAAUUUUUACCAAUCCUAUUACUAAAUAACAAUUUUAGCAUAAUAUUGUACAUUUAUGUAAAAUGCUAAAAAUAUAUUUUAUUUAUUUAUUUUGAGAGGGGCUGGAGUGCAGCAGCACAAUCUCGGCUCACUGCAGCCUCUGCUUCCCAGGUUCAAGUAAUUCUGCCUCAGCC